rnacentral:misc_RNA from 1 species
GAUGAAGAACGUAGCGAAAUGCGAUAAUUAAUGUGAAUUGCAGAAUUCCGUGAAUCAUCGAGUCUUUGAACGCACAUUGCGCCUCAUGGCAUUCCGUGAGGCAUGCCCAUCUCAGCGUUAGAAAAUAUUCUCAAAUUUUAGUUUUGUGCUAAAAUUUGGAUCAUGUCAAGGAAGCUAUUACUAUUAUUGUGAUCGCUCUUUGGAAAUUGAUAGGUCUUUGAGUUGCUACUCAUAGAACGUGAUGAAUCUUUCUUCGUUCUAUUGUAAUUCACUCUGGUAGUCCUAAAACUUGUAUGCCUGUGGCAUAUCUUGUAAUUUGACCUGAGAUUGGGUAGGGAUAUCCGCUGAACUUAAGCAUAUCAAUAAGCGGAGGA